AACGAACGCUGGCGGCAUGCCUAACACAUGCAAGUCGAACGAGACCUUCGGGUCUAGUGGCGCACGGGUGCGUAACGCGGGAACCUGCCCUUAGGUUCGGAAUAACUCCCCGAAAGGGGUGCUAAUACCGGAUAAUGUCUUCGGACCAAAGAUUUAUCGCCUUUGGAUGGGCCCGCGUUGGAUUAGCUAGUUGGUAGGGUAAAAGCCUACCAAGGCGACGAUCCAUAGCUGGUCUGAGAGGAUGAUCAGCCACACUGGGACUGAGACACGGCCCAGACUCCUACGGGAGGCAGCAGUGGGGAAUAUUGGACAAUGGGCGAAAGCCUGAUCCAGCAAUGCCGCGUGAGUGAUGAAGGCCUUAGGGUUGUAAAGCUCUUUUACCCGGGAUGAUAAUGACAGUACCGGGAGAAUAAGCUCCGGCUAACUCCGUG
rnacentral:rRNA from 1 species